UACGUAGGGACCAAGCGUUGUUCGGAUUUACUGGGCGUAAAGGGCGCGUAGGCGGCGCGGUAAGUCACUUGUGAAAUCUCUGAGCUUAACUCAGAACGGCCAAGUGAUACUGCAGUGCUAGAGUGUGGAAGGGGCAAUCGGAAUUCUUGGUGUAGCAGUGAAAUGCGUAGAUAUCAAGUGGAACACCAGUGGCGAAGGCGAGUCUCUGGACAUUUCCUGACGCUGAGGCACGAGAGCCAGGGGAGCAAACGGG
rnacentral:rRNA from 1 species